rnacentral:lncRNA from 1 species
UCUACUGAUACCAGCAGCAAUCAAAGAUGGGUGGUAUGUCCUCUUUCUUCAUGUCACCAGAUGGGAUGGCUACUUUGUGGAAAAAUGGAGAGAAGAGAAGACUACAGUGAUGGGACCAGGAAACAGGAUAUCUGUGGUCAGAAGUUGCCUCUUAGGACUAAACCAGUGAAAGAUGGGAAAAUCCAUGAUGGAAGCUUGCUUGAACUCUGAAGAAACACUGGCUUCUUUGUAAUCCAAUUUCCAUAUUAAAUGACAGUCCAGCCAGUACCAUGAAAGUUGAAAAUCACCAUGACAAUGACAAGAAGAGACCAAAAAAGGGCAGAAAAGGGGCUCCUUGAUUCCAGGGAAAUCUUCAACCCUCCUUGAUUCCAGGAAAAUCUUUAUCCCUUCCUAAGAAAAGCGAGGUACAAGUUCAAUCUCUGAAGAUGAUGGAGGAAUAUAUCUACGCUUGAAUCCAUCUGGAGUUACAACUUUACACCUCUCUCUUCAAAGUCCUCUUUCCCAAGACAGGCGCCCCUUUCUAGGGUCAUUCAUUCUAAAAUCUAUGUGUAAUUCCAGCCUAUUUGAACUGGAAUAGGAGUAAUCAACCAAAUCAGUGUUGUUUUCAACAGUAAGCUCUAAAGAUGAGAUAUAUUUUAAUAAACAUGUAUCUUUUUUAUUAUA